rnacentral:rRNA from 1 species
UCGCCAUUUAAAGUGGUACGCGAGCUGGGUUUAGAACGUCGUGAGACAGUUCGGUCCCUAUCUGCCGUGGGCGCUGGAGAACUGAGGGGGGCUGCUCCUAGUACGAGAGGACCGGAGUGGACGCAUCACUGGUGUUCGGGUUGUCAUGCCAAUGGCACUGCCCGGUAGCUAAAUGCGGAAGAGAUAAGUGCUGAAAGCAUCUAAGCACGAAACUUGCCCCGAGAUGAGUUCUCCCUGAGACUUAAAGUCUCCUGAAGGAACGUUGAAGACGACGACGUUGAUAGGCCGGGUGUGUAAGCGCAGCGAUGCGUUGAGCUAACCGGUACUAAUGAACCGUGAGGCUUAACCUUACAACGCCGAAG